rnacentral:rRNA from 1 species
GACGUAGGGGGCCAGCGUUGUUCGGAAUUACUGGGUGUAAAGGGUUCGUAGGCGGUGCGGCAAGUCGGGAGUGAAAUCUCUGGGCUUAACCCAGAGGCUGCUUCCGAAACUGCUGUGCUUGAGUGUGGGAGAGGCGCGUGGAAUUGCAGGUGUAGCGGUGAAAUGCGUAGAUAUCUGCAGGAACACCCGUGGCGAAAGCGGCGCGCUGGACCACUACUGACGCUGAGGAACGAAAGCUAGGGGAGCAAGCAGG